GCCAAACUCACUACACAUCCGAACCCACUCUCCUGAGUCAUUGCCAUUGUCCGAGUAUGCUGUGGGCAUAUCUGGAUUUACAAUAUUCCAAUAUAGGACACAGGAAAGCAACGCCUCACUGUAUGGUGGAGAAGAACGAUGGAGCCUAGCUGGAUAAUGUGCCCACCUGUGGGGCUCCACAGAAUGCAUGAGCUUAAAGAUGUCCCUUGUCGUCUUCUACAUUAACCGAGAUGCCCAUGUGGUGGGACUGUCAGCUGGAAGAAUCCUCCAAUUUCACUUCUGUCUGGAGAGUCUUUAAGAAUUCCUCAGAGUUUAAUUAAUAACCCAUUGAAUCCAAUCAGUGCUGACCAUAUGCAAAUGAGUGUGCAGCUAUCCUCUGGGGCAUGGGCAGCCUACCAACAGCCACGGCCCAAAGAAAACUGACUCUCUUUCCCAGCAGCCAUCACCUGCCAAUAGCUCCUCAGCUGAGGGUGGGGCUUCAGGAGCCUGUACCCCAUCCUGGAUGAAGUUUUGACUGCUUUGAUCUUGUGCAGAUAAGCACAGCAGCAGUGAUCUCACAAGGGCAAUGGUCCUGUCAUGUCCAGAAGACAGGAUUUCUCAGCACUCCUCGUAUCCCCAGGCUCUUGGAUUCUUUCCAUUCCCCUGUGCCUUGGGUGGGGUUCAGAAUCAGAAGGGAGAAGCUAUCCUUUAACUACAGUGGUUCAAGUGUAAGCUCACUGAUGACCAGAAUUUAAGUUCUUUAACAAUGAACAAAGAAAGGGAAAUGCCAAAAACUUCACUUCUGGGAGUUGCCUGGUGAAUCUAUGUAACUGUCCUAUCUACCUACAUCCCUGAUACUCCUGCUUUCAAGACCAUCUGUCUCCCCUAUCAAGUCUGGGGCAUUUGACUCCCAGACAUAUCUAGUAAAUUUUUAACGAGGAACAAACAUCAUUCGAUAUCCAGAAGAAACCAUGGGAUUGAAAUCUGUUUUUUUUCUUAUGAUCCAUUUCUUUUUUGAUUUCUUGUAUUCAGUCAUAGACAGACACUUGGGCCCCUGAUAGAGCAGAGAGAUAAAACACAAUGUCACUUUCAACUGUCAUUAGACAAAUCAAUAGGAGCCUCUGGGUGGGAGUGGGGUCUAAGAAGAAAGAAUUUUCUGCUUUAGAGGUCAUGAUAUUAGGCACUCAGGUCAGACUCAAUCAUAAGGUCCCUUCAUAGUAAAAUAAAUAAAUAAAUAAAUAAAGUCCAGG
rnacentral:lncRNA from 1 species